UACGAAGGGGGCUAGCGUUGUUCGGAAUUACUGGGCGUAAAGGGCGCGUAGGCGGCACUGUUAGUCAGGCGUGAAAGUCCUGGGCUCAACCUGGGAACUGCGCUUGAUACGGCAGAGCUAGAGGAUGGAGGAGGCUCGCGGAAUUCCCAGUGUAGAGGUGAAAUUCGUAGAUAUUGGGAAGAACACCGGUGGCGAAGGCGGCGAGCUGGUCCAUUACUGACGCUGAGGCGCGACAGCGUGGGGAGCAAACAGG
rnacentral:rRNA from 1 species